UCUCAGGUGGUCUAACGGUUACGAUACGCGCCCUUCAAACGAGACGUGUGCGCGUGAUCAAGGUUCAACUCCUUGCCUGAGCA